rnacentral:rRNA from 1 species
AACGAACGCUGGCGGCAUGCCUAACACAUGCAAGUCGAACGAAGUCUUCGGACUUAGUGGCGCACGGGUGCGUAACGCGUGGGAAUCUGCCCUUGGGUGCGGAAUAACUUCUCGAAAGGGAUGCUAAUACCGCAUAAUGUCGUAAGACCAAAGAUUUAUCGCCCAAGGAUGAGCCCGCGUAAGAUUAGCUAGUUGGUGGGGUAAAAGCCUACCAAGGCGACGAUCUUUAGCUGGUCUGAGAGGAUGAUCAGCCACACUGGGACUGAGACACGGCCCAGACUCCUACGGGAGGCAGCAGUGGGGAAUAUUGCGCAAUGGG